rnacentral:rRNA from 1 species
UACGGAGGGUGCAAGCGUUGUCCGGAUUUAUUGGGUUUAAAGGGUGCGUAGGUGGCCGUUUAAGUCAGCUUUGAAAGCUGGUCGCUCAACGAUCAGGGGUGGGUUGAUACUGGACGGCUUGGAUCAGGUGGCGGUUUCUGGAACGGGUCGUGUAGCGGUGAAAUGCAUAGAUAUGACCCAGAACUCCGAUUGCGAAGGCAGG